AUUGAACGCUGGCGGCAUGCUUUACACAUGCAAGUCGAACGGCAGCGCGGGCUUCGGCCUGGCGGCGAGUGGCGAACGGGUGAGUAAUACAUCGGAGCGUGCCCAGUAGUGGGGGAUAGCUCGGCGAAAGCCGGAUUAAUACCGCAUACGACCUGAGGGUGAAAGCGGGGGAUCUUCGGACCUCGCGCUAUUGGAGCGGCCGAUGGCAGAUUAGCUAGUUGGUGGGGUAAAGGCCUACCAAGGCGACGAUCUGUAGCUGGUCUGAGAGGACGACCAGCCACACUGGGACUGAGACACGGCCCAGACUCCUACGGGAGGCAGCAGUGGGGAAUUUUGGACAAUGGGCGAAAGCCUGAUCCAGCAAUGCCGCGUGUGUGAUGAAGGCCUUCGGGUUGUAAAGCACUUUUGGCGGGAACGAAAAGGACUGUGCCAAUACCACGGUUCGAUGACGGUACCCGCAGAAUAAGCACCGGCUAACUACGUG
rnacentral:rRNA from 1 species